UGUGGCAUGGAUCGAUGACGUGGCAAACAUCCGUCCAUCCGUCCAUCCAUACAUUCAUCCAUCCGUCCAUCCAACCCACUGCACCCUCUCUCUUACACGCGCGUGAAACCUAGCCAAUCCAGAUCUCUCACACGCACAGCAAACCCUAGCUCCUCUCUCCCCCGCACACUGCUCCUCCCUCCAGCGGAGCUCCCUGCCGUCCAUGGCCUCCCCCAUACCCUCCUCCCCUCUCCCCUCCCCGCCAUCCACGGCUUCCCCCAUGCCCUCCACCUCUCUCCGCCUCGACACCUCCCGAUUUGAAUCCGCAGCCCCACAGAAAUACAGAGAUAGAGGGGAACCAAAUCCUGGAGGCGGGCGGAGCUCUUCUGCUUCCAUGGCCAACGACCACUACAACUCUUCCUCCGCCUCCGCGCCGUCGCCGGCGGCGGCGGCGACCGAGGCCGCGGCAGUGGUGGGCUCCUCGGUGAUCCCUAUCAUCAACAAGCUGCAGGACAUCUUCGCGCAGCUGGGGAGCAGCUCCACCAUCGACCUAUCGUAGGUGGCCGUCGCCGGCAGCCAGAGCAGCGGCAAGUCGAGCGUCCUCGAGGCGCUCGUUGGCCGCGACUUCCUCCCACGCGGCUCCGACAUCUGCACGCGCCGCCCGCUCAUGCUCCAGCUCGUGCACCAGCUGCGCCGCCCCGCCGACGCCAAGAGGGAUGAGUGGGCCGAGUUCCUGCACCACCCCGGCUGCCGCUUCUAUGAGUUCCCCGACAUCCGACGCGAGAUCCAGGUGCUGGAGCAGUUGAGAGGACAGUGACCGGUGUUCUCCAAGGCGAGGUACACUGUCAGGUCGUUCGGUAUCAGGCUAUGUUUAUAAAGCGGUAAAGCGAAGCGAGGCGCUAGGGGGGCGCCUCACUGCUUAAGCGAUAAAGCGUAAAGCGAGGCGACGCUUUACACAGACUCUGAACCUGAUGGGCAGUAUAAUAGAGCACCAUUUAGUGAGACAUAUAUAUGUUGAUUCUAAUCCACCAGUGAGCCCAUAUAUUCUGAUCCAUCCACUAAGCAGUAAGCAACUAGCCAAUUGCUAUAAGAGAGGCAGUAGCACCUAACAGCAGAGGAGUUGUGCAUAGCAUAACACACAACAGAGCAGAAAAGGCUGGUGCAGAUCUGAGGAAGCUGCUGCCAGAGGAGAGAGGAAAGAGCUGAAAGCCUGGAUAUUUGCACGCUCUGGUUUUGGUUCUCUCUCUUUCUUUCCCCUCCUGUAACUGUUUCACAUGUGAGCCCAGCCCUGUUUCCCUGCCAGGAAUCUCUGUACCCUGCCUGGCAAGUCUAAGGCGUCCUCUCUGCCUUAAAGCGCCAAUCAGGACGCCUAAGCAGGCGCUUCAGACGCUUUAGUGUCUAAGGCGGACGCCUUAGACACAUGUCUAAAGCGAGUUGGACGCUUUGAGCCUGGAGGGCGCUCUAACGCUUAAGCGUCGCUUAAGCGACGCUUUAGGGACGCUUUACAAACAGAGGUAUCAGGCGUAAUGAGAAGAUUGUGUGCUACAUGACUAUAAGGGUUGAGAAGGCGAUGCAGCUGCUGGAGAGUGGCCUGAAGGUGAAGGAGUACGAGCUGCUCAGGAGGAACUUCAGCGACACCGGAUGCUUUGGCUUCAGUAUCCAGAGCACAUCGAUCUCGGUGUGAACUACCAAGACUCUUGAGUUUGUGGUGAUGGCAGCUAACACGGAGCCGAUCGGAAUCUCCCCCACCCCCUGUUGCUCCCUGAUAAUAACAAGGUAGAAAUACUGUUUGUAUGAUGCAUCAUAUAUAGUACUGCUAAUUAGUUUGUACUAGUCGCCAACCCGUGCAUUCGCACGGGCUAGUUUGAUAAGCUAUAUUAUAAAAUAUGGGAUGCAAUUGUGGAGAGUAUUUUUAUUUGCCUGGGGUAAUGAAAUUGAAGAGUCACGCAAUUUCCAUUGGAAAAGUAACAUCUUGUCUUACCAUUGAUAAUGGUAUAUGAAAUGAAGCAUAUAUUAAAUUCUCUCCCUUUAGAUAAGAAGUCAAACUACUUAAAGAACUUGAUAACGGUAUAUAAUGCCUUCAUAUUAUUGAAAAUUUUAGAAUAAUGAAAAUAAAUUUUUCUUCUUAUUAUCCUUUCACAUAUCACCUAUUCUGACCAGUCUCUAGAGAAACUAAGCAAUUUAUUUUAGAUAGAUAAUGAGACAUCCUCACAAAAUCAACCAACAAAAACAGUUUGAUGUUGAAAUUUUACUUUUCAAAAGAGAAUAGUUUCGAUGCAAACAUUAGAUACCAUUUACUACGUUAGCUACUUUUCUUGUUCCUCCUUUUGUCACAUAAAAUACAUAAGCCUAAUCUCCAACGGAUAUAUCACAAACUACAAAAAUCGUGCAUAGAGGAAAUAGUCAUGUCAUCGAGUGGUUGCACUUUAGUGCAUCCCUUUGGUUCCGUAUUGCCCUAAACAUGUCCUAUAUUAGUCAUUUCGUAAAAUUAAAAUGCCAAACUGUAUUAUUUUAAGAUACGUUCAAAAGUAAAAUGGUGUUGGCUCUUUCUUGAAUUCAGGUCAAUUUUGGUUAAUUGCAUAUACGGAAUUAAAAUAGAUAUUAUUUGGUGCGUACCGAGUCCAAACCAAAAUUUGAAUCAAUAGGAUAUUUACCGAAAUAAGUCCAAACCAAAAUUUGAAUCAAUAGGAUAUUUACCGAAAUACCAAUUCGAUAUUACAAAAACAAUAAUUUCUGGCAUGCACACGCCUCAUAUCCAUUAUCUGUCACCCUAUAUAUUCUAAAUAUACUAAACCUAGCUAGGUUUGAUUUACCCUGUUUUUUUGACUUUUUCUUAUCAGUGAAAACUUGACCAAUGAGAGGCUGACACGUCAAUUACUGGGGGAAAUUGUGGGGUAAGCCUUGGGUGCACUUAGCGAUUUGUGUCGAUGGCGAUUGCGGAUUGGUUUUCUCUUCUCCUCUCAGUUCCCUCCGCGUGUCGAUGCGUCUCUCGAAGACUCGCGUGGGCUCUCUGCCUCCGCCGCCCACCGCUCAACCGCCGAUGCACCACCGCUCAACCGCUGUAUCUCCUUAUAAAAUGGCUCCCGCCCCUCAAGCUUGCUCCAACGCCCAUGCCCAUCACGCAGCGCCCACACGCUCCAGCAGAUCCAGACGAUGUGAUGCUGGCGGUCGGCGAGGCCUCCUCGGCGCGCGGUUUGGUUCGCAGCGAACAGUGAAGCAGAGCUGCGCGGCGAUGGCGACGACCAGCGCAGGGCACGGGCGACACCGCGACAACAAGCACAAGGCCAUGGAGGGGCUCACGCAGCGCGCGGCGGUGCGCGGCUAGGCGGACCUCACGCUGCGGCGGCGGCAGGUGCGUGCUAGCCGUGGCCAUGAGAGGGGGCUUGCGGCGUGACUGUGGCAUGCGGCAGUGGGGAUCUCCCCAACCUCUCCUACCCCCCUUCUGAUGUGGGGAACCAUGGAUUGCCGAUUUUUUGCUGAAUCUUUAGUCGUGUGGAAAUGGCGUUUUGGCUGGGACGUGACGGUGCGGCCACCGGCGCCCUGCGUCCUCCACCGGUGUCGCAUGCUCAUGCCCCUGCCCCCUUCCUUCGGCCGUCCAGACUGCCUCCGUCUCAGCCGGUGGAUGUCCAUAUGCCGGAUAACGAGUGUAGCGGCGAUCACGGUCUGUCCUGCUCCGACAGUCCUCUGUCACUUCUUCCGCUGGCUUACUACUAAUGCAGGUGGAGUUCAACAUGGAAGAGCAUGGCCCAAGCAUCAUUCUGGGCGUAGCUGCCCACCUCUAUGUGACGACUGCUCCAAGGCAGACCAAGUGUUCGUCGUAAUGUCAGAGCGGCCACAGUGAUGAUCUUCGAGGUCUGUGUAGUGCCGGAAGACAGCGACCAGUAGCGGGCGCUCGCGCACUGCUUCUGGGAUGACACAGUCAGGACUAAUAAGGAUGAGGAUCAUGUUCAUAUUUCCAGUGGGUUCGUUCCAGUGGUAUGGACGCGGCGAGGCAAUUUAUAAAGUUUGCCAGAGCAGUCACUGCGUACUAUCCCACACUCUAUCGACGGACCACCUUCUUCCACGCCGACGCCGGUCGCCGGGGUAUGGUCAUCCAUCGCCAUGCAAGAGCGCUCUAAUCCCCUAGACAGUACUGCUCACAGCAGUUGCAGGCGCGAACGCAUUGCCCUCAGCCGUGGAUGCCACUGUCCCGAACCAAGGAUGUGCAGGCAUGUUUUAGAUUAUGAUUGUGCAAAGGAAUAUGUUAGAAAAUGACGGUCUGCAAUGGUGUACCAAAAUAUUGAACAUCUUCUGAUUUUACUGGAAGAUUGAUGUGGACAUUGAAGUUAUUGCACUGGCAGCUGAUUUUUUUCCCUUCACAUUUUUGAAGACUGAAUUUUCAGCAGCACUGCACCAUUAAUUGGCUUUCUGCAUGUGACUUGUGAUUGCAGCUGAUGAAGCCGUCAACCGUUGGAGGCAUGGAAUUGUCGAGCCCAAGGUUCGUCACCCUUGUUUUCUAAAGGGAAGCUAAAGUUGGGGUUGCCAAUCUCCGAGGAUUUUCUCAACGGUUGAAAAGUUUGAUCACUGAGGAAUGGGGAUUACAGUCACAGAUUAUUAUUCGGUUAUUCCUCUUGCUGGUGCCUCCGCUGAAAGUUAUGCAUCUAUAUACAACCAUAUAUAUAAGUUUGCCUCUUCAAUCAGAAGAUUGUAUUAGCUAUUCAAUUCAUAGUUCAACCUUUGAAUAUACAGUUUUGGCUGAGUAGUUUGAGCCUCCGUUGUGCAACUGGAUCAUGGUACACAUCCAGACCUGCAGCUGUGUUUUAUUUUAUUAUCCUUUUUAGAAACUGACACGCUGCCUUCGUUGCCUAAACCCGUGCUUUAAUUAAAUGAUAAAUUUACUAUAAAGAUUUUUUUCUUUGACUCUUAUAUGAAAAAAUUGUACGAACAUGUGAUUGCUAUCCAGAUUAGUCAGGUCAUCCUGCAAAUAACUGUGGGAUACAUUACUGAUACUUACUCAAUCAUUGUAGUGAAAUAAUACAAGAUGGUGAACACCUCGGAUGCAGCUCAAAGGUCAAAUAUCAUGAUAUAGAGUAGGCAUUAAACCUAUCUUAUCUACUUAAUUUUUUGUUGCAGACUAAUCGUCUAUCUUAUCCGUACAUGGCUGAUUAGGAAGUAGUACAGUACCCGCAUGUUUAAUAGUUAUCAGAUUAUUUCUGUACAUAGUUGAUUUGUGUAUUGAGACGGGAGGCCAAGUUGUUCAAUUUGUGGAUUUGAUUUAUUCAGACUGGUGGCAUUCCUUAAUUUCUGAUUCCUGUUUAUGUUUGGUUUUGAGCUGUAAAUUAUUUAUUCUGGCACAUCUAACGGCUGCUUCUUUUGUCUAGCCUUCUUUCAAUGAAAUAUUUCCAGUCAGUAGACUAUACUUGCUAUUCCAAUCACAUACAGGCCUAGGGUUGUCCACUAAGAGAAGGUGCAACAAAUUCACUUGGUUUGUGAAUAUCCUUAAUAUAAGCUAGCAACUUUUCAUAUAUAUGCCAGGUUGUCUUCAAGCCAUAGAAGCACUAUCGAGCCCUGGAGCUGUGGCGACAGUGCCGUCCCAGCCACCGGCGUCCUCUUCCAUGCCAUGGCCAUCCAGGAGGAGUGCCACGGCUAUCGCAGUUCUCCCCAUGCCAUCCUCCUGGAUGUUGAUCGUGUCCUUGCACCGGCGGCAGCUGGAGCCUGGUACGUCCAGAGAGGCAUGGCCUUGGAUUGGAGCAUUGCAGUCAUCGAUCCACUUCGUGGUAGUCAUGGGGUAGGGUGGCGUAGAACUCAGCCCCGUGAGCUGCAGUUCACCAGUUCAUUCCUCAGCUGUAAGCCCAGCAAGAAGGAAAAUGGUUUGUGCUAUAUAUACGACUGAACUGGACAAUCACAUAGAAGGUAGAUAUUUGCACAUCUGAUUUCUUUUGUGUAGUCUGGGUACUCUUUCCCAUGGUGUUAAAAAAUAUAUAUGUUUGUGAAGUUGUAUGACUUAGUGAUUUUGUAGCACACUAAGUUGACCCAAACUGGCUUGAAUUUGUUGGUUAUUUGGCCUUGCCUGAACACGGUUGGUGAAAGCAGCAGUGCUUGCUUUGA